ACGGGAGGCAGCAGUGAGGAAUAUUGGUCAAUGGCCGGAAGGCUGAACCAGCCAAGUAGCGUGAGGGAUGACCGCCCUAUGGGUCGUAAACCUCUUUUGACAGGGAAUAAAGUGAGGCACGUGUGCCUUUUCGCAUGUACCUGUCGAAUAAGCAUCGGCUAACUCCGUGCCAGCAGCCGCGGUAAUACGGAGGAUGCGAGCGUUAUCCGGAUUUAUUGGGUUUAAAGGGAGCGUAGGCGGAAGGUCAAGUCAGCUGUGAAAUGUAGUCGCUCAACGUCUGCACUGCAGUUGAAACUGGCCUCCUUGAGUGCGUAAGAGGCGGGCGGAAUUCGUCGUGUAGCGGUGAAAUGCUUAGAUAUGACGAAGAACUCCGAUUGGGAAGCCAGCUUACUGUAGCGCCACUGACGCUGAUGCUCGAAAGCGUGGGUAUCGAACAGGAUUAGAUACCCUGGUA
rnacentral:rRNA from 1 species